CCUACGGGUGGCAGCAGUGGGGAAUAUUGGACAAUGGGGGCAACCCUGAUCCAGCCAUGCCGCGUGUGUGAAGAAGGCCCUCGGGUUGUAAAGCACUUUCAGUGAGGAAGGACGCCUGGUGGUUAAUACCCAUCAGGAAAGACAUCACUCACAGAAGAAGCACCGGCUAACUCCGUGCCAGCAGCCGCGGUAAUACGGAGGGUGCGAGCGUUAAUCGGAAUUACUGGGCGUAAAGCGCGCGUAGGUGGCUUGAUAAGCCGGUUGUGAAAGCCCCGGGCUCAACCUGGGAACGGCAUCCGGAACUGUCAAGCUAGAGUGCAGGAGAGGAAGGUAGAAUUCCCGGUGUAGCGGUGAAAUGCGUAGAGAUCGGGAGGAAUACCAGUGGCGAAGGCGGCCUUCUGGACUGACACUGACACUGAGGUGCGAAAGCGUGGGUAGCAAACAGGAUUAGAUACCCUUGUAGUC
rnacentral:rRNA from 1 species